rnacentral:tRNA from 2 species
GGGGGCGUAGUACAGUGGUAGUAUGUCGGUCUCCAAAACCGAAGACGGGGGUUCGAUCCCCUCCGCCCCUGCCA